rnacentral:rRNA from 1 species
CAUGGAAAAGCCGGUACAAGCGUAUAGCAGUCAUGCAGGCAAAACCGCAUGAAAAAUGUAAAGCGUUAUGUGGAUCGAACAUUAGUAGAGAAGCGUGUGAGCCAGCUGCCAAGAAAAGCCGCUAUUGCUUCAUAAGUACCCGUACCGUAAACCGACACAGGUGGAUGAGGAGAGAAUCCUAAGGCCGGCGGGAGAAGUGUUGUUAAGGAACUCGGCAAAAUGACUCCGUAACUUCGGGAGAAGGAGUGCCACAGAGAUGUGGCCGCAGAGAAAUGGCCCAAGCAACUGUUUAGCAAAAACACAGGUCUAUGCAAAACCGAAAGGUGAGGUAUAUGGGCUGACGCCUGCCCGGUGCUGGAAGGUUAAGAGGAGAGGUUAGAGCAAUCGAAGCUUUGAAUUUAAGCCCCAGUAAACGGCGGCCGUAACUAUAACGGUCCUAAGGUAGCGAAAUUCCUUGUCGGGUAAGUUCCGACCCGCACGAAAGGCGUAAUGAUUUGGGCACUGUCUCAACAACACACCCGGUGAAAUUGAAAUACCAGUGAAGAUGCUGGUUACCUGCGCCAGGACGGAAAGACCCCAUGGAGCUUUACUCCAGUUUGAUACUGGGAUUCGGUACUGUCUGUACAGGAUAGGUGGGAGGCUAGGAAAUGGUGACGCCAGUUGCCAUGGAGCCAACCUUGGGAUACCACCCUUACAGUACUGGGUUUCUAACCUGCAGCCGUGACCCGGCUGGGGGACAAUGUCUGACGGGGAGUUUGACUGGGGCGGUCGCCUCCGAAAGAGUAUCGGAGGCGCUCAAAGGUUCCCUCAGAACGGUUGGAAACCGUUCGAAGAGUGCAAAGGCAGAAGGGAGCUUGACUGCGACACCGACGGGUGGAGCAGAUACGAAAGUAGGACUUAGUGAUCCGGUGGUAUAAAGUGGGAUUGCCAUCGCUCAACGGAUAAAAGCUACCCCUGGGAUAACAGGCUUAUCACUCCCAAGAGUUCACAUCGACGGAGUGGUUUGGCAUCGAUGUCGGCUCAUCGCAUCCUGGAGCUGUAGCAGGUUCCAAGGGUUGGGCUGUUCGCCCAUUAAAGCGGUACGCGAGCUGGGUUCAGAACGUCGUGAGACAGUUCGGUCCCUAUCCGGCGUGGGCGUAGGAUAUUUGAGAGGAGCUGUCCUUAGUACGAGAGGACCGGGAUGGACAAACCUCUGGUGUAUCUGUUGUUUUACCAAAGGCAUGGCAGAGUAGCCAAGUUUGGCAGGGAUAAACGCUGAAGGCAUCUAAGCGUGAAGCCCCCCUCAAGAUAAGAUAUCCCAUCUUCGGAGUAAGACCCCUUGAAGACUACAAGGUUGAUAGGCUUCAGGUGUAAGUGUGGUAACGCACUCAGCUGAGAAGUACUAAUAGGUCGAGGACUUA